UACGUAGGGGGCAAGCGUUGUCCGGAAUCAUUGGGCGUAAAGCGCGUGUAGGCGGCCCGGUAAGUCCGCUGUGAAAGUCGGGGGCUCAACCCUCGAAUGCCGGUGGAUACUGUCGGGCUAGAGUGCGGGAGAGGCGAGUGGAAUUCCUGGUGUAGCGGUGAAAUGCGCAGAUAUCAGGAGGAACACCAAUUGCGAAGGCAGCUCGCUGGAACGUAACUGACGCUGAGGCGCGAAAGCGUGGGUAGCAAACGGG
rnacentral:rRNA from 1 species